rnacentral:rRNA from 1 species
GACGAACGCUGGCGGCGUGCUUAACACAUGCAAGUCGAACGGAAAGGCCCUGCUUGCAGGGUACUCGCGUGGCGAACGGGUGAGUAACACGUGGGUGAUCUGCCCUGCACUUCGGGAUAAGCUUGGUAAACUGGGUCUAAUACCGGAUAGGAGCCAUCUUUAGUGUGGUGGUUGGAAAGUUUUUUCGGUGUAGGAUGAGCUCGCGGCCUAUCAGCUUGUUGGUGGGGUAAUGGCCUACCAAGGCGGCGACGGGUAGCCGGCCUGAGAGGGUGUACGGCCACAUUGGGACUGAGAUACGGCCCAGACUCCUACGGGAGGCAGCAGUGGGGAAUAUUGCACAAUGGGCGCAAGCCUGAUGCAGCGACGCCGCGUGGGGGAUGAAGGCCUUCGGGUUGUAAACUCCUUUCGCUAGGGACGAAGCUUUGUUGUGACGGUACCUAGAUAAGAAGCACCGGCUAACUACGUG